UCUUCAUUUUUCGCGCUCUCUCACCGGUCAGAGUGACGAGAGAGCACGCGGAAUGAAGAGA
rfam:Pristionchus pacificus strain PS312 contig10782, whole genome shotgun sequence.